rnacentral:misc_RNA from 1 species
GUAGCCACCUAGCAGGCAAGAUAAAUGUCGUAGUGGCUUGUUUAAAUAAUCGUACGACAAAUGGACCGGCGUGUCCGAGAGAAACGCAACGGAAAAAACAAAACGGAAACAUUCAGUGUCAUAGCCCGGAAAAAGGUUCCACAAGAAAGGACAAGAAGCUAGUACAUUUCUCUGUUAGAAGAGAAAUCCAGCGCAAAAACCGUGACUGGAGAAAAGACGAAAGUCUGACACGCGACGAACAAAGGAUAAUUUAUAAAAGUCGUCUGCAAAAAACACACCAUGGCCGAAUGACAAAGCUUUUGUAUCCUUUUAACCGGUUGCUGAGAUGGCGCAUUAAUUGGGCAAUACAAAAUGAUUCGGAGAAGCACGCGGCGACAAAAGGGAAGAUAGCGCGAAGAGUAAUUGAAUACGAGUCGUAAACGGUGACCGAUGUAAUUCCGGUGGAGCAAUUAAAAGCUGGAGCGAGAUAGUUACUCCUAAGAGCCG